CCACACACGAUCCAAGAUCGACACUUUUUGUGAACUGUAAACUUUUUUUAUUGAAGUGUUUUGAGAAGUAAUUCUCAAUUGUCAAUAGAAAACUUUUUUAAACACCAACUUUAAACAAAAAUGAUUUAUACAUUGGAACUUAAAUGUUAUAACAAGUUCGUCUUAUUAUAACGCUAGAUUAUUAAUUGAUAAA
rnacentral:misc_RNA from 1 species